rnacentral:rRNA from 1 species
UGGGGAAUAUUGGGCAAUGGGGGAAACCCUGACCCAGCAACGCCGCGUGAAGGAAGAAGGCUUUCGGGUUGUAAACUUCUUUUACCAGGGACGAAGAAAGUGACGGUACCUGGAGAAAAAGCUCCGGCUAACUACGUGCCAGCAGCCGCGGUAAUACGUAGGGAGCGAGCGUUGUCCGGAUUUACUGGGUGUAAAGGGCGUGUAGGCGGAGCUGCAAGUCAGAAGUGAAAUCUCCGGGCUCAACCCGGAAACUGCUUUUGAAACUGUAGCCCUUGAGUAUCGGAGAGGCAGGCGGAAUUCCUAGUGUAGCGGUGAAAUGCGUAGAUAUUAGGAGGAACACCAGUGGCGAAGGCGGCCUGCUGGACGACAACUGACGCUGAGGCGCGAAAGCGUGGGGAGCAAACAGG